AAAAUGCGAAACGUAGUGCGAUUUGCAUGAACCUGUGAGUCACCGAGUCUUUGAACGCAACUUGCGCUCUCCGGAGCAUGUUCCCUUGAGCCGGGCAAACAUCUUAAUCUGAUAUUUCAGAUUGUGCUGGGACACGAGCGCGUCUCUGUCCUGAAAAGUGUGCCCGUCAGCGACUGAGCCAGAGGAUGGUGGUUGUCGGUUGUAGACCUCGGUCUCUAACUCUCGAUCUAACUUUCUUUCAGUCAAAUGACACUCAUUCACCCGCUCAAGUGGAGCAGGACCACCCGCUGGACUUAA
rnacentral:misc_RNA from 1 species